GAUGAACGCUGGCGGCGCGCCUAAUACAUGCAAGUCGAGCGAACGGACGAGAAGCUUGCUUCUCUGAUGUUGGCGGCGGACGGGUGAGUAACACGUGGAUAACCUACCUAUAAGACUGGGAUAACUUCGGGAAACCGUAGCUAAUACCGGAUAAUAUUUUGAACCGCAUGGUUCAAAAGUGAAAGACGGUCUUGCUGUCACUUAUAGAUGGAUCCGCGCUGCAUUAGCUAGUUGGUAAGGUAACGGCUUACCAAGGCAACGAUGCAUAGCCGACCUGAGAGGGUGAUCGGCCACACUGGAACUGAGACACGGUCCAGACUCCUACGGGAGGCAGCAGUAGGGAAUCUUCCGCAAUGGGCGAAAGCCUGACGGAGCAACGCCGCGUGAGUGAUGAAGGUCUUCGGAUCGUAAAACUCUGUUAUUAGGGAAGAACAUAUGUGUAAGUAACUGUGCACAUCUUGACGGUACCUAAUCAGAAAGCCACGGCUAACUACGUG
rnacentral:rRNA from 1 species